rnacentral:lncRNA from 1 species
UCACCUCUGAUUUUAAUUAUCUGUUCCCUUCUACUGGUUUUGGAAUUGGCUUGUUCUUGUUUUUCAAGGAUCUUGAGAUUCAUCCUUUAAUUAUUUAUCUGAGAUCUUUCUGAUUUUCUAAUAUAGUUAUAGUUAUAAACUUGAGAACUGAGUUUAUAAUAUUGCUGAGGUUCUGGUAUGUUGUAUCACUAUUUUUCUUUGUCUCUAAGAAUUUUUAAAUCUCUCCUAGCACCCAUUAAUCAUCAAAAGUAUAUUGGUUAAUCUCCAUGUGUUUUUAUAUAUUCUGAAGGUGUUUUUGGUGUUUAUUUUUAAUUUUAUUCCAACAUAAUCAAAUAGAUAUAAGGAAUUAUAUUACUUUUUUUAUUUGGUAUGUGUUGCUUUGUUGCCUAAUAUAUGGUCUGUUUUUGAGAAAGAUACAUAAACAGCUGAGAAGAAAGUGUAUUCUACUAUUGUUGGGUGGAAUAUUCUCUAGAAAUCUGGUAAGUCCAUUUGAUUAUUUAUGUAUUUAUUUAUUUAUUUUUGGUUCAAUGAGUCUUUACAAACUUAGGUUUAGAUGACAUGUCUAUUGGUGAGAGGUGUGUUGAAAUCAACAUGUAUU